CUGACGCAGCGUACACAUGCAAGUCGAGCGGUAACAGGUCCAGCUUGCUGGAUGCUGACGAGCGGCGGACGGGUGAGUAACGCAUAGGAAUCUACCCGGUAGUGGGGGAUAACCUGGGGAAACCCAGGCUAAUACCGCAUACGUCCUACGGGAGAAAGGGGGCUUCGGCUCCCGCUAUUGGAUGAGCCUAUGCCGGAUUAGCUGGUUGGUGAGGUAAUGGCUCACCAAGGCGACGAUCCGUAGCUGGUCUGAGAGGAUGAUCAGCCACAUCGGGACUGAGACACGGCCCGAACUCCUACGGGAGGCAGCAGUGGGGAAUAUUGGACAAUGGGGGCAACCCUGAUCCAGCCAUGCCGCGUGUGUGAAGAAGGCCCUCGGGUUGUAAAGCACUUUCAGCGAGGAAGAACGCCUGUCGGUUAAUACCCGGCAGGAAAGACAUCACUCGCAGAAGAAGCACCGGCUAACUCCGUGCCAGCAGCCGCGGUAAUACGGAGGGUGCAAGCGUUAAUCGGAAUUACUGGGCGUAAAGCGCGCGUAGGUGGCUUGAUAAGCCGGUUGUGAAAGCCCCGGGCUCAACCUGGGAACGGCAUCCGGAACUAU
rnacentral:rRNA from 1 species